AAUUUUCUCCUGCAGAUUCGCUAAAAACAAAAUCUCUCCCGCACACACCACCAGUCGCUCGGCGGCGCACCCACCCACUGCAUCUCCACACCAGAUCCACUCACUCGGCUGCGCGCUAUUCCAGGCCGCCGCCGGCAGCCAACUGAGCUCCUCCUCGGCUGCGCGCUAUUCCAGGCCGCCGCCGGAAGCCGGUACGUCGACAAUGGAGACCGCCAAAUGGCGGCGUCUACGACCAGAUCGCCGGUAAAACCCGCGGCGCCGCCGGCCAGCGAGGCCGGACGCCAAGAUGGAGGCUAUGGAGGGCGGACCCCGGCCCUUCUGUGGCGCUCGUUGGACUAGUACGGUUGGCGGCGGCAAGCGGUGGCGGGGGGAGCAAGGUGCGGCCGCCUGGUUGCCUCCUGCCGUAUCAGCAGAGGAGAAGCAUCUGGGAGAAAUUGCGGCGUCGGCUCUGGUGGAAGGCAGGUACGGCAAGCACCUGGCGUCGCUUCAAGAGUGGAUGAAAAAAGGUGUUCCCCCAUGUGCGUGCACUCCAGCUGCUGGCCGUCGACGAGGAUCAUCACCCACUGAAGACUGGUGCUGCAGGACCGACAGGAGAUGAUCAGAGCGCGGCUCUGGACACUGCAGGAAUUCAUAUGCAGCGCCACCAAUUUUAAUUGAAGAUAACACAGUGAAAUGCAAAAUUAGACGGUCCACCAAGAGACUGCAUAGUAUACAGAGAUCAUUGAUCCUCAUAGUCACUUACCCACCAAGAAAGCUACAUGAUAGUUUUCUUUAGUAAUAGGUAUAUAAUUUUGUUUUUCCUUCUCACAGUUUGUUUAUUCCGAUUGCCUUAUCUUCAGUUAAGCAUAUAUUUUUUUUACAAAUUAACCGCAUCUUAGUAUGCUGUUGUUGUACAUGCCAGUAAAUUUUAUAGGUUCAAUUAUUAAUUGUUGCACAUAGCUGGGUUUGAUUCGAAGUUCUGCUUUGUUCUAUAACAGUAGGAAUGUAGUUCUCGGGAGUUUUGUGCUACGAUUAAGUAAUUCAUGUAGUGAGUAAAUGGGUGACACUCAGAUUGUCAGAAUGUGCUUAGUGUAGUACAUAAAUAAUCCUACAUAUGAUUUACUUGUAUAACACUUUCUGUGGAUUGCAGGUUUGUAAUGCUUCUUGUGUUUCUAGGUCUGUAGAGUACGUUGAAUCUUGCAAAGAAAGAUAAUUCUGAAGUUAUUUCAUAUUUGCUGUGUACAUGCAAUUUUGGUUUUUGUUUUAUGUGGUCCAUAAGAAUCUACAAAUAAUGUUCAGGGUUGUUAAAACAAGACUCACCGCAGGAGUGAGACUAGCAUGUUCGAGGCUUCAGGCACUAAACAGAGAGAGAUCAGUCAAAAUUUAUAUGACAAAAGGAGCAUCUUUAUUUGUGUGUGGGAGUAAAGAGGUCCAUAUUUCCAGAACAUCGUGAUACUUUUAAAGGUACAAGUACAGUAGUUCAGCAUAGGCCAGGGACUUUCCCUUCUGCUCUAAUCCGCUUACCUGUUCAAGGGAUGUUUUGUUGUCCCCGUAUGGUCAAUGAAAGUUGGUCAGACACUGAGGUCAUCCAAUCCACCACACGUUAUGACCUGCUAAUCAACAUCGAC
rnacentral:rRNA from 1 species